rnacentral:rRNA from 1 species
GGAUUAGAUACCCUGGUAGUCCACGCCGUAAACGAUGUCUACUAGCCGUUGGGAGACUUGAUUUCUUAGUGGCGCAGCUAACGCACUAAGUAGACCGCCUGGGGAGUACGGCCGCAAGGUUAAAACUCAAAUGAAUUGACGGGGGCCCGCACAAGCGGUGGAGCAUGUGGUUUAAUUCGAUGCAACGCGAAGAACCUUACCAGGCCUUGACAUCCUGCGAAUUUGGAAGAGAUUCCUUAGUGCCUUCGGGAACGCAGUGACAGGUGCUGCAUGGCUGUCGUCAGCUCGUGCCG